UAUUUUAUACUUUAACUUUGAUUUUAUUCUUAUGUUUUUUAAAUAUUGGUGUUUUUGAAUGUGUUGUUUAAAUAACAUAAAAAAUAAAAUAUAUAUUGACAUGUAUUAAACAAAGAUAUAUAUUAUUUUAUGUUGUAUAAAUAAAUUGGCAAAAUAGAGAUGGAAGAUAAAAAUAUGGUCAAAGUAAUAAGAGUCUAUGGUGAAUGCCUAGGAA
rnacentral:misc_RNA from 1 species